rnacentral:rRNA from 1 species
AGUGCUGAGGAUUUGAUUGAAUUUCCAGCUUUUGAUCUCCCUAAAGAUGGUGCGAAUGUAAAUGUGACUGAAUGGAAAGGGGCUUGUGAUCCUUUUGGAGAACUGGUUGAAGCAUGGGUCCUGAUUGAGGGUAUACCACCUAAAUGGUGUACAUGGAAGGUCUUCUGCCAGAUAGCCUCAAUGUUUGGGGUUCUUACUGAUGUAGACUGGAAUGGCAUGUUCAGGACAUUUUUUGAGAAUGUGAGAGUUAAGAUUGCUUGCAGGGAUCCAACCAAAAUUCCUUUUGAAAGACUGAUAGAAAUGAAGAAGAAGUUGUUUCUUAUUGGAUUUACUGUGGAUGGUUUUGAACAAACUGGUGGCCAGGAUUCUAUGGUUAAUGAGGAAGAGGAGGAUGAUGAAGAGCUUGAGGAAGAUAAUGAGAAUAACCAUGAGGGCAACGAUGAUGGUACUCAGGAUGACAUUUUAUCCAAUGAUGAGAAUGCUAUAGUUGAUCUAGAUAGGCUAAUUUAG